GAUGAAGAACGUAGUGAAAUGCGAUAAGUAAUGUGAAUUGCAGAAUUCAGUGAAUCAUCGAAUCUUUGAACGCACCUUGCGCUCCUUGGUAUUCCGAGGAGCAUGCCUGUUUGAGUGUCAUGAAAUUCUCAACCUUUUCAGCUUUCUUUGUUGAUCAGGCUUGGAUGUGGGAGUAUGCGGGCUUCUCAGAAGUCGGCUCUCCUGAAAUGCAUUAGCGGGACCUUUGUUGCCUGGCUUUGGUGUGAUAAUUAUCUACGCCAUUGUGGUCAAGCAGCUUAAAAUGAGGUUUCAGCUUCUAACCGUCUCCCCUGAGACAACUUUUUGACAAUUUGACCUCAAAUCAGGUAGGACUACCCGCUGAACUUAAGCAUAUCAAUAAGCGGAGGA
rnacentral:misc_RNA from 1 species